rnacentral:lncRNA from 1 species
UAUAUGUGUGUGUGUGUGUGUAUGUUAUAUUCAUUAAUUGAAGCCUGUUUCAAGGAGCAUGUAGUUCAGUUGCUGCUUUUGUUUGUUUCUCCAAACUGAAGAGUUAGCUAUUUAAGCAGAACUCAUGUGUCAAAAGACACACUAGCAAGUGUUGUUAGCACCAGGCAUCGUCCUACCAUUCCCAUAGACCCUGUUGGAUUUACCCUCUCUCUCUCUCUCUCUCUCUCUCUCUCUCUCUCGCGCGCUCUCUCUCUUGUGCUCUCGCUCUGUUCUGUAUUAUGAAAUCUAAAGACUGUUACUACUGUUUUUGUGUUGGUUACUGCAGUUCUUUUUCUCUGUAGAAAGUUCCAUCUAAAUCUUUGUGCAUUUUUGGAUCAGUUCUUAUACUGAAAAGUUACCGAAUCUUGGAACAGGAUGAAAGAAAAGUUUGAGUGACUAAACUUUUUUUUUUUACACACACUCACUCAUUCACACACACACACAGACACAUCCAUACACACAAAGACACACCUUGUUGUUAACUUUUAUUAUAGUUCCUUCUGCAAGCACCACCAGUGGUAGUUAUAUUAGUAGUAUUAGUAUUGGAGAGAUUACCAUUAUUACUAACACUGUUGUUCUUGUUAUUGUUAUGGUUCUAAUUCCAUUCCUUCCUUAAAGAUAUCACAUUAUUGCAUGCAAAGAAGAGGCGGAAGAAAACCCAAGUUUAUGCAUGCGUAUAAUAUUAUAUACAUAACUUCAUAUAUAUAUUAAUAUAUAUAUAUAUAUAUAUAUGUGUGUGUGUGUAUAUAAUGUCAUGCGUCAGCAUAUGUUUCUGUGUAUGAUUAUGUGUAAAUAAUUGAAUAGAAUUCUUGUGGCAUUUUAGUCUCCGGUGAAUUUUGUAUAAUCUCAUAAAGUUUCACUAAAGUAAGAACUAGUUUACUUCUAUCUUCUCUCUUACAUUGAUUUCUUCUCUCUUUCUUUCUUUCUUUUCUUAUUUCAUCUUUCUCACACACACACACCUCUUGUGAUUGUUUCUGUAUAUACAUAUUCAUUUAUUUUCUAUUUCAACUGCCUUAGCAAUUGUUGUGGCUUCUCUUUUUUUUUUUUGUUUUUUGUUUUGGCUUUUAUUUUUGCCUAUUUAAACUAGAAUUCCAACUCUUCCCGCCACUUUACUGGAAAAAAAAUAUGAAAAGCUAGCAACAUGUCAAAUAACUAAAAGAUUCAGGAUCUCAUAUUUCUCUGUCCAUUAUAAUCCGUUUUGUGUAGUGUGCAUGUGUAUCUAUACAUACAUAUAUAUAUAUGUGUGUGUGUGUGUGAACAUAUGGUAAGUGGAAUUCUAAAUACUAAACUAAAUUCUUUAAAACAAAUUUAAUAAACUGUGGCAGACGUAAAAAAUUAAUAAAAUGAUACAAAGUUUGAAGGAAAGAACGGAUAAGAAUUAAGAGGAGUAAAGGGAGUACAAAUAUGAAAUUAAAUAUAGAUUCACAUAAAUAUGCCUACAUAUAGUCUGUACAACUAUACCGAUUAAGAUAGUGGUUUUUCUGAGUUUCCUCCAAAAUUAAUCUUAUUUGUUAACGUAAACUAAAAAUGCUUGAAAACAAAUGUAUAUACAUAUGUAUAUAGUUGUAUAGUUAGAUAUAUAAUGUUUAGCCAUAUGCAUCCAUCUGUACUUAAAUUUUGUUAAAAGUUGUAAAUGUUUAUAUUGACAAAGCAGGGAAAAAGUGCUCAACUCGUGUGAUAGAGUUUACUCAUAUAUCCACAGCUGGCUAAAUUUUCUCUCUGUUACUAUGCUACUCUAAGUUCCCUUUGUGCCAUUUUACACAUACACACACACAUUUAUAUAUUUAUAUAUGAUUUUAGUAACUUUAAUGCAGUAAGUGCCAACCUCUAAAUCAGAUGUCUUUAAGUUUCACUGCUUUAUUAUUUUUUUUAUAUUGAUUGCCAAUAGUAUCAUAGUUAUCAUCACACUCAUUAUUGCCAUUAUUUCUGUGUACUUCUCCCUUGUUUUGCCUUGGGUUGGAUAGGUUUACUACACCACCUUUUCUCUGUGGGUCUUGAGUCUGUUUAUACAUAAGGAAACCAAAUAAAACAAAUUCCUUUAUAGUAGAACUCUUCUUUUCAGCUUUCUCUUUCUAUACUCUUCCUGCAGCUUUAUCUUUGUAAUAAUACCAGUAAUUCCUUGGUGUUUCUUCACUGGCUUCUUCAGUUUUCCACACACCCUGCUCAUUUCUUUGGAUACUCACCUUCUACAUAAAUCAAGUAAAGCUGUUGUUAAGAUUAUUAUUAUUGUUGUUGUUGUUGUUGUUGUAUAAACCAAAUGUCAUCAUCGUAGACGUUAAAGUAAUUCUUUGACGUUAUUCCGUGACUGACAGUGAAGAACAACCCUCUUCAGCCUCCUCUUUCUUUAGCAUUUAUCAUUAAUAAUAAUAAUAAUGAUGAUAAUAAUAAUUGUUAACUCUUGUAAAUUUUAUUGUAAUUCAUUUUUAACUUUGCCUUGUUUUUGUUGUAACUAGUUCUGUUGCAGUCAUUGCUAAGGUUACUCUUUAUAAAUACUCAUAAUAAAUUCCAUACCAUCAGAUAAAAGAAGCUACCACUUACAUUUGCAAUCUGCCACACCCACCCACACACACACACACACACUCACACACACUCACACACACACUCACACACACACACACACACACACGUAUAUAUUUUCUUUUAAAACAGACAGAAUUUCUCUUGUAUACCUUUUAAUUUCAUCACCCUUCCUCGCAGUUCUUUUCAAGAAGUUAUAAACGUCACAACUAUCAACACUGCCACCCACUUUCUGUCUGUCUGUCUGUCUGUCCGUGGGUGGGUGGGUGUGUAUGUAUUUCUUUAAAUGCCAUAGAAGAAAAAUCUUUACCAAUCAAAUUAGCAUGGAGCAUCUUUAGGCAUUGCUUGUUUAUUGCUGUACAUAUUUCCUUUCAUCAUCAUCAUCAUCGUUAUUGUUGUUGUUGUUGUUAAUAAGUGUAUUAUUUUAUGAACUAUCAAUCACAUUUUUCAUAGUAUAGAUUUACGAUAUUUUCAUCCAAUAAAUCAGUUUGAUUGUCAUCAGGUGCUUAAUUCCUGGCUGUUUAUUAAGGUGUUUGACUGGAUUUGAACCAGGUACUUUCGUUUCUCAACUGAAGUUUGCAACUUUUUUUAUCCACUGGGCUACAGAUACAAUUACAGCUGUUGUGGUGGUUGCUAUUGUUGUUCUCAUUACUUUUAACAAUUUCUACUAAUUUCUGAAUUUGUUUCAUCACAGGAUGUAAGUAGUUGCCAUGGAAACAGAAACACUAAUCUCCUGCUUCAUCCUUUAACAAAAAUGCUGUGAUAAUGAUAACGAUGAUGAUGAUGAUGGCUAUUUUUUUUUAACUUAUAAACAAGUUUUCUUUGUAAGUUAUAAUCUGAUUUUGAAGCAACCCUGAACACAUUACUGGUAUAAAGUUUAUUGGCUUUGGUGUUAGUGAUGAUAGGGAAAAUAUAAUAAUUACCCUAAAGCCAAUUCUAAUUAAGUCUAUUGACUACUACUACUACUACUACUACUUUUGUUGCCCAUGGUAAGUUAGGAGAUAUAAAGGGGAAGUGCAUAAUACUUUGUUACUACUACUAAUAAUAACAGUAAUAAUAUUUGAUAAUAACAGCAGUAAUAAUAAUAAUAAUAAUAACAACAACCAUAGCAGUAAUAAUAACAACAACAAACAGCCAUAAUAAUAAUAACAACAACAACAAAAAAUACAGCCAUAGUAAUAAUAAUAAUAAUAAUAAUUUGUGGAAAUUUUUGUUGCUUCAUGAUGUACAUGUUUAUUCAUUUAGAUGUAAAUUUUUGCAGUCCUCUAACUAACGUACCAUUCAUUCACUCAAAUUAUCAUUAUCACAAGGAGAAAUAGCAUUUAUCAGAAUUUAAAUAACCUUGAGGUUGAAUGCAUUUAUUUGUUGUUUGAAAUGAAACUGUCUAAUCUAACAUUCAUUCGUUAUUUCAAACGAGGUUUAUGUUACAAUAUGUAGAUUAAGGUCUGUUACUCUACUUAGUUCCAAACUGAAAUUUUAGUCACGACUCAGGUUUCAUUCUUUGCACUCAUUUAGUUUUCCUUGAAUGAAAUAUAAAUAUCUUUAUAAUACUGCUUAAUCUUUAAUCCUUUACUUGUUUCUGUCAUUGGAUUGUGGCCAUGCUGGUGCACUGCUCUGAAGGGUUUUAGUCAAACAAAUCAGCCCCAGUAUUUUUUUUUUUCAUCAUCUGAUACUAAUUUUAUUAGUAUCUCUUGCUGAAACACUAACUUACAAGGACAGGAACAAACUAACACCGGUUGUGAGGCAGUGGUGGGAACAAACAACAUAAGCACAAAGACAAAUGCAUCACCAUCAUCUUUUAACAUUUGUUUUCUAUGCUGGCAUGGGUUGGAUGACUUGACCAGAGCUGGCAAGGCCAAGGGCAGCACCAGGUUCCAUUUUCUGUCUUGGCAUGGUUUCUACAGCAAGAUCCCCUACACACAUAUGACGAGCUUCUGCACAGUUUCCAUCUACGCAAUUCUCUCACAAAACUAUAGGUUGGCCUAGGGAUAUAGCAGAAGACAUUUGUCCAAGAUAUGUCAUGUAGUGGGACUGAACCCAAAACCACAUGGUCGCAAAGUGAUCUACUUGACCACACAGCCAUGCCUGCACCUUUACAUAUAAUAUAUUUAGCCAGAAAUUGUGAAAAAAAAAACAUAGCAUAAGUUCAUUAUAUUAGAAAUUCACUAACCUAUCAUUUUUAAUGUGUCACAUGCAUCAUUGCUUCUCUACAUAAAAUACAUUGAGUUUUAAAACCUGAACUUGCUUGCCUUUCUUAUGUGAUCAGUUAGGUAUCAUUAUUCAUUGAACUGCUAAUUUGAACAAUUUUCUCUUUCUGUCUUUUUAUAAUAAGCCUCUUCCUCUACCUACACACACACGUAUAUGAUUAGAUUUAUUGUAUUGGGAAUAAGUUUGUUAUCUAUAAUCUUGACAUUUAUAUUAGGAUUUUUGCAUUAAAGAAUACAAGAAAUUUACUUAUUUGGCACUUUUCUUUGAUAAUUUAAUUUGUUUCCUGUAGCUUAAAAUUCGAAAAACAAACAAAUUAGAUUUGUAUAUUUACAUCAUGGUAGAGUCAUAUUGGUUAUUCAGAAGACACAUGUACUAUUAGCCAGUUCCCUUUUGUUACUUUUCAGUAGUAUUUACAUAGCUAUAUAUCAAACACUUUUAUCGUAUAUUUAAGACCUGAUCACGGAUACUCUGUCUCCUCUUUAUUUAUUAAUCUAUUUUCUAUCUUAUUGAGGCUGAUCUGACAAUUUUAUUUUAGUUAUUCUUUUCUUUUUAACUUUAUUUUUUGUUCAUAUUCUACUUUUUAAAAAGCACUUUAUUUCCCUCUCUCUCUUCUCCCACCUUUUCUAAGAGUUGAUCACCUCUUAUAUUGAUGUCUGCUGACCCUAUCAAACUUGUUCCAAACUAACACUAACCUUUCAAUCCAUAUUUGCUCUCUUGUUAACACACACACACACACACACACACACAUAAAGAAAGAGAAAAACCAACCUACAGUUUUUUGUUUCAUCAUCAUCAUCGUCAUCAUCCUCAGUGACAGUGAUAAUAUCAUUGUUAAUAUCUGUUUGUCUUUAGAAGUGGUUCCUUAAGUGGAAUAAGUGUCUAGAAAAGAAACUGAAAUAUCUGUGUCAGAAUAUUUUUCUCUCAACCUCUCUCUCUCCCUCCCUCCCUCUCUUUCUCUCUUGUAAAGUCUAAUGCAUGCAAUUUGUAGCAAUAAAAGUUACUAAAGGAAAACUAAAAUUUUGACCAUUUUGCAUUCACACACUCACACACACAUAUAAAAUCCUUAGUUCUAGUUAUUAUCAAUACAUAGACGCACUCUCUGACACACUCACACACAGACAUACACAUUGAGAGCAAAAUUUUAUCUAAAAAUAACAGCGAAACAAUAAUUUCAAAAAUUACAGCUGGAAAAUAAAUACUUAGUAAAAAAAUGUAUAAUAGGAAACGCACACACACCACAUGCAUAUACGUACAUACAGAGAGAGAAUAUAUUGGAUAUAAGUGUUAAAUUCUAAAAGAAUAAAAUAGGAAAAAAAAAAAUUGUGAAUCUUUCUCUGUAUUUCCUUGUCUGUCUGUUUGUCUCUCUAAAACAGAUACACAUAAAUUAUUAUAAACAAAAUACAAAAACCUCAAACAAACAAAAUAUUCAGUCUCUGUGUGAAAAUUACAAUCAUUAUUUUUGUUGUUCUUGUUGUAUGUGUGGAAGUUUCAUCGACUCUAGAGAUUACAGUUUAAAGAGCAACAAAACGAAAGUCCAAUUUACUGCCAUCACACACACACACACACACACACACACAUGUCAACAAAUUUCAGACUGCAUCUGGAAGUCCAAGAGCAACAACAUUUCACUUCUAAAGGAAAAGAAAAAAGAAAAACAAGAAAUUGUGUUUUGGAAAAGCCCAAUAACGGCCCCAACAACUGCAACAUAUGACUACAAAGCAAAACAUCCAAGGAGACUUGUAAUAAACAUUUAUGUGCUUUGUUGCGACAUUUUCUGUUGGAAUAUCUUCAAAAUCCUUGCUCCUUCCUACCAUUCCUUAUUCUCACAUUCCCUCCCCCUGUCAUUCUGCAAUUUUUUGUGCCAUUCGGAUUAUGCCUUUUGGAUUAAGAACUGUACGCUCAAUUCGUGGAAUAAACAGAUGUAAGAGUCGUAUGUUCUUUAUAAACAGACGAGUUAUUACAGCAUUCAAAGAAUUACCUGUAAGUAAAUUAUUAGAAAGCAAGAAAAAAUUCCUUAAUAAUAAUUAUUAUAAUCAUAAUGAUGAUAAUGAUAAUGUUGAUAAUAAUUACACCCUUUGCCCAUCUCCAGUGAAAGUUUUCAGUAAUUUCUGAGUCUUUUUUUUUAUUAGUUUCUUUUUAGUUUUGUUGUUUUUCUUAUUUAUUUUCGUGUUUUAUGUUUUGAUUUGAGAGACCCUUCCACUCCCUUAACUGCUAGCACAAAUGAACCACUGCAAGUUCUGUAAGCACUGUCGUCGACUGAACAAUCGACGCAAACUGCGACACACAGUGAUUCCGAAGCCGUUAAGGAAGCUAUUGUACCCCUCGCAGAAGUCUUGCCGCUCUUACAAUGAAUCCGUGGCUAAGG